AUGGACUGCGCGCCGCGUCUGCAGGACUCUGGGCUCGCCCGGACAGCUCGCGCCCCGACGUGGGUGAAACUUCGCCCAAGCGUGGAUUCUAGGGAGAACCUGUUGAAGCCAGGAGUGGAGCGGAAAAGGGAUAGCGACCGACAGGGGCGGGUGGGCCGUCGGGCCACCGAGCAGAAGGAGCCAGCGAGCGGGGUUGAAGUGGUCGAUCCGGCGGACUUCCGCGAGGACAAACCCAGGUGGCCCAGGGCUGCACCGCGGCGGCCUCGGUGCCAUGGAGAGCGGUAUUCGCUGACUGCGCACUAAGACGCGUCCCAGUAGGUCAAGUACCUGAGCUGCUGCGGCGCGGGGAUCGUGCAAGAGGUCUUUCUGCCCCCCAGGCUUCUCUGGAGGAGCAGCGCCACCGGGGACCGGUCUGGGCUGCCGCGCUGGAACCCUGCACGAGAUGAGCCUGCUGUCGGGGCUGGUGUUCGCCGCUGGUCUCUGCGCCAUACUGGCGGCUAUGCUGGCGCUCAGGUACCUGGACCCGGUCGUCGCGGGCGGCGGCGCCUGUCCCGAGGGCUGCCCCGAGGGCAAGGCCUUAGCGCGCGCCGCCGGCUUCCUGGCAGCCAACCUGGACGCCAGUAUGGACCCAUGCCAGCACUUCUACUCUUUCGCCUGCAGCGGCUGACUGAGGCACCGCGCCAUUCCCAACGAAAAGCUCACCUAUGGCACCAUCACGGCCAUCCGCGAGCAGAAAGAGGAGCGCCUGCGGCGCCUGCUGGCACGGCCCAGGGGUAGGCCCCGCGGCGCGGCCCAGCGCAAGGUGCGCGCCUUUUUCCAUUGGUGCCUCGGCAUGCGCGAGAUCGAGCUACUGAGUCCUCGGCCCAUGCUAGAGGUCGUGGAGGACUGCGGGGGCUGGGACCUGGGCGGCGCGGCGGAGCAUCCGGGGGUCGUGACGCCCUGGGACCGCAACCUGCUGCUGUACAAGGGGCAGAGCGUGUACAGCGCCGCAGCGCUCUUCUCCCUCUGGGUCAGCCUAGGUUACAGGAACUCCUGGCGCUACAUCAUCCGCAUUGACCAGGAUGGGCUCAACCUGCCAGAGAGGACCCUGUACCUCGCUCAGGAUAAGGCGAGUGAGAAGGUGCUGGGACAUGGGAUGGGGAGGCAGAGAAGGCCUGGGGCCCCAGGAGGGGUGGGCCCAGGCUAGGCCUGUCCGUGUCCCUGGAGGAGCCCCUUCCCGUGGUGCAGAUACUGGCAGCCUACAGUGUGUUCAUGGAGCGAGUGCUCAGCCUCCUGGGUGCUGACGCUGUAGAGCAGAAGGCCAAGGAGACCCUGUGGCUGUAGUGGGGACAGCUGAUGACAGGGGACCAUGGGACAAGACUGGCUCAGCCCUGAUCUCUACCCCCACCCAGAUCACUCUGUCAGAGUAUGAUCAUUUCCAGCCAGAUAUCAGCUCCAUGUACAAAAAGGUGACGCUGGGGCAGCUGCAGAAGAUCACCUCCCCAUAUGGCCCAGGCCCCUCCCCUGCCCCCUGGACUUGCCUGCUGGGUGUGCCAUGAAUUUCCGCCUCCUCUUCUGUCCAGUAGUCACAUUAAAGGAGGCAGCACUCAAAAAGGACCCAGAGCCCGAAGAUCCGAUCCUAGCUCUCGCCUCUGCUUUCCGAGGCCCUGGGCAGGGCUGGGAGCUUCCUGAGCUGCAGUUUCCUCACCUAGGGAUGGUUGGAAAGAGAAAGUGUGGCUACGGCUCUGCUGUUCCUGCACCACCCUUCGGAGAGCCUCGUGGUGUCUAUCCACCAUGGGGAGGAACCGAGGCCUUUGCAGGCCAGUUCUGAGUCAGACAGUCACCCUCAAGGUCAGACGCUAUCUCCCCAUGGCAAGUCAGGAAAUGAUUCAAGCCCUGACCCAUCACAUCAGGGGCUGGCAUCAGUAGCAAGAGUGUCUUACUGUGUCAUUGAGCUCAGCACACUCCAAUUCCAGCCUCCACAUACUUGGGAUGACCUCCUGCCCCUUCUUUGAGGGACUAUCUGGGUGCUGGGUCCAGUCACGGGCUGAGGAGUACAGGCCGGGGUGGUGCCCUUGGUGGCCCAUAUGAAUGUCUUUCUGGACACCCCACUGGCUUCAUCUGGCCCCUAGCAUCCUGCACAACUACCUUCUGUGGGGCGUGGUGGUGGUCCUGAGUGAACACCUGUUCGUGUCAUUCCAUGAGGCAUUGCACAAGCUGGCACGGGAGAUAGAGGACAGUAACAAGCCACAGGAACUGGCCCGGGUCAGCCUGAGUCAGGCCAACCACCACUUUGGCAUGGCACUUCAUGCCCUCUUUGUACAUGAACACUUCUCAGCCCGCCUCAGCCAAGGUGGGCUGCUCUGGUUUAGGGUGGGGAGGCUGGUGCUGAACUGAGGGUGGAGCCCUCCCGAGGCCAUGGUCCUAGCGUGGGGAGCCCCACACAUCCCACUGCAGGCAGGGGUACCAGGCCCCGCUUAGGCCUCAGCCCAUUCUGAGGCUCCAGGCUGCUCCUCCGCAGGACUCCUCCUCCUGGUCUGUUAGUGGCAGGUGGCCUUCCCCGCCAGGCCCCUGCCCACCUUCUCAGCCGUGCUCAGGAGGCAUCUCCUUAGGGAUGCCCAUGGUGGUUGCUGCAGCUGUUGCCUCUUCUAGCCUGUGAGCUUAUUGUUGGAGGGGAAGGGUCUAGAUUCCUACCUCCAACGUGUCUUCUUGGCGCCUAGCACUGAGCUCUGGGCUUAGCAAGUGGUACUUAAAGACUCCUUCGUGCCAGGAAUGAUGGACUAGAGUGAAAGGCUGCUGGGUUGACCCUUGUUCCCCGACCCCUGACCCUGCAGGUGUGGCAGCUGGUGGAAGACAUCAAGUACCUCCAGGGCCAGCGCCUGGAGGAGCUGGACUGCGUGGAGACCAGAACAGCUGCUGGGGCCGUGGCGAGGGGCCCCCAGUGCCACCGGUUGGUCCCAUGAACAUUGACUGAGCACCUCCUGUGUGCCAGUGAAAGAGAAUACAAGGGACGAAGAGGCCUUCGUGGAGUUGACCGGGCCUGCCUCCCCCACCGUGAAGCCCACUCCCGGGCUGGCCUAGGACUCCUUUCCUUGGUGGGCGGGGGGGGGCAGGGACGCUGUGUCCUGAGGCCCCAGGCCACCUUCACCUGCCCUCUGGCCCGCAGCUUCAGUACAUGGUGGCGAUGGUCGGCUACUCAGACUUCCUGCUCAAACUGGGUCUGUGGACAAGGAGUAUGAGAUGGGACUGUGUCCCUGCCUGCCCAGCCUGACCACAGCCCCUCUGCUAAUGGCACCUGGGAGGGCCUGGAUGGCCAGGUUGUGGCGCUGUCUGCAGCCUUGCCCUGGUCUGUGGCUGAGUGCUGCCCGUGCCCCGCAUAGUUUAAGGUCCACGAGAAGACCUACUACAAGAACAUCUUGAACAGCAUCCGCUUCAGCAUCCAGCUUUCAGUCAAGAAGAUUGGGCAGGAGGUGAACAAGUCCACAUGGGUGCCUGGCCCAGAGCUGGGGGGUCAGAGGAGGGUCAUGAGGUAGUAGCCGGGAGGGUGGUGGCCUAGCUCAGCGGUGGCACAGAAAGUAUUUUGUCAGGAGAUGGGUGUGGCUGGGCUGCCAAGAAUGUCCUGCAGUCCAGGCUCUGUGACCUUCCUACAGAGGUGGCUGUUCCCCCCACAGUGCUCAUUGCCUUCUAUCUACCCAACAAGAACCAGAUGGGUACAGGGUGUGUCUCUACACCUAUUGGGUCAAAAUGUGGGCAGGUCUCCCACUGACUACACCCUCCCUGUAGUGUAACCACAGAAUGUCCUGCAGUCCAGGCUCUAUGACCUGACUUCAGUGACCAAGACAUAACAUACCCGCAUGCCUGGUGGCAUCCCGGGUGGCAAGCUUCUAUAACGAGGAACUUCAGCUGCUUCUUGGUGUUGGGGUCCAGUGUAUGCCCUGGUAGCAAAGGAGGAAGCUCUGGUCGGAUGGAGUCAGUAGGCCCUGGGGCCCCCUUAGCUCAGAGGGUACAAUUGCAAGUCCCACAUAGUAAAUCCCACACACUGUAGACAUCUGGGGACCCCUUGGGAGGAGGGCAAAGGCCAGUUACACAGAUGCUAACCCAGUGGGGAGGCCUAUUCCUAGAACCAGUGGGACCAGGGCAUCAUCAGAUGCAACGUCAGCACCCAGGCCAGAAGGGCACAGCUGGGAUCCCCCUUGAGUCCUCUCGAGAGGCUGCAGGGAGCAUCCUCCUCUUCCCCGAUCAUGAGGCUUCCUGUGCCCAUCACUGAACUGUGCAGGGGCUCACAGGCACUCAACGGGCAGGCGGCCUCGGAUCUGGUGGAGACUGAACUUGUGGUGCCAUCUGGGGUCUGAAUCUUGCAGGGAGUGGGACGCCCCUGCUCACAAGGAGUUGCUCAGGCCUGCCUAGGCUGCAAGCACCUCAAGACUAACCUGGACCUUGGGGUUUCGUUAAAGGGACAUCAGGCCCUCCUGAGUGCUUACUGUUUGCUGGGCUCACCACAUGCCUCAGCACAGCCCUGGGCAGUGAGCGCCCCAAGAGCUCAUGUUUCAUAUCAAGCUGCAUGCUGGUGCCUUCACCUUUCAUGCAGGCACCCACCCCAUGUGGUUCCUGGGUAUCCCGGAGUAAGGGACUCAGGCCCUCAGGCCAGGGGUUGACACAGUACGCCCUCCAGAUGGCAAGCUUUCAGCAAAUUGCGGAGUAUUAGAGUAUUAGAGUUUUAGAGUUUUAGAAUAUUAGAGUUUAGUGUGUCUGCUUAAGUGGACUGACGGAUUAUAUGAUCUAGUUUUAACCGACCUCAUCCUCCAAAAGGGCCAAGAGGCUCACACAAGAUUCCUAUAAAGAAUCUGCAGCUAACACCAGAAAUCUAGAGCAGAUGAACCACAGCAGAAGGGAGAGCUGAGAAUUCCUUAUUACUCCUGGCAGAGCGCAUGUCACCAGGGGUACAGACCUGACCAGACGUUAGCUCCUAAUAAUGAAAAAUCAGCAAACAUAAAGUAUUAAGAAAAAAUCAGCAAACAAAACUCUGAAUUUCCUGUACUCUGUGAUUACUGCUGAAGUUUGCCCUGGGCCUUUGUUC